CUGCCUGCCGAGGUGCCUGCUCCCCGAUGACGCACUCCAAACCCGGACCUUCCACACCAAACCUCGGAGCCCAGGGGCUGGCGGGCUCUGCUCUCAACCCUGUGGACGUCGCCCUUCGACCGGCCCCUCUGGCCAGCCGGGUGCUGCACAACUCAGAGCCGUGAAGCCCAAGCGGAGCUGCCAGGCCAGGCCCAGCCAUGGAGGUUCCAGGACUUGGCCAAACUUGUUGAACUCGGUCUCGGCGGGGGUGGGGCCGGCCGCUCACUGCUGAGGGCAGGGGGACUCGAGAUGGUGGCCCGGGCAGCGGCCCCGGGAACUGGAGCUCUUUGCAGAGGGCAAAAGGGUCGCCGGGGAGCGAAGGCCCUUUCCGGGGCCCCAGGACGAUCUGGAGCCCUGAAGAGGCCCCAGGAGACGGUGUGCCCUCCGGUCCCGAAGCCCCCUCCCUCCGGCCGGCCUGGGAGAUUUCAGGAUCACAGACUUCUUAGAAGUUAGCUCCGACGUAGCUCACCACCAUCCCCUUGUGAGCAUUCGGAUUUCCAUUGUGCAGAUGCAGAAACUGAGGUCAGAUACCUUCGGCGGCUUGCCCGGGAUCUGCAGUGGGGCAGGGCCGGGACUCCAACUCCAGCCGGGCCUGCCAAUCUGAGGCGCAUUCGGAAGCCUGGGACCCACACGCGGUAGGGGUGGGGCAAAAAGGCAAGAGCUCCUCCCCCUCCGCGUUCUUAUUCCCACAUUUUGUGUCACUCCUGUAUUCACUUUUAAGUCCCUUCGCCCCUCCACCGCCUGUGUCGGUCACCAGCCUGGGUGGAUUUUUCCAGAUCCCCACGAUGCCACCCCACCCUAAACAAAUCCCUUCUUUCUCGCGCCCGUGUCCCCACCCCGGCAUUUUUUCGGAGCCUGCCCUCUGUUAUUUAUAUCCACUGGAGCGGCCCGAGAAUGUUCCGAAGCUGACCUAAUCGCCACCUGCUCGGCCUCCCCUCCCCUCCCGCUCGCUCCUGCGCUGGUGACCCAGCGGCCGCGUCCUCCCCUGGCAGGCGAGAGGGGGCUCAGGCCGGCGAGGGCGGACGCCCGGGCGCUCCGAGGAUCCAGACCGCGCAAAUCCGCUCGGGGUUGGAGAGCCGGGUGCCCUCCCAGGAGUGCGCCCUCAGUGGGGGGACGCGGAGCUCUGGGAAGCCCAGGGUCACGUUCUCUCUUCUUACCCACUCGAUACACACCGACACCCCCCACCCCGCCAUCCCCGACACACACACACACUCACAGAGGAGUGUGAGUACGUGUGCGCGGAUUUUUAAACCGUAGCUUUAAAAAUAGCGAAAUUAUGUUUCUAGUAAACCUGGGAGGAAUUACUGGCGCGUUCUCUGUGCAGAUAAAUCCGCUCAUAAAUUGGAAAGGGCCAGAAGGGAAUGAAUGAAGGUAAUUGCAGGGGGUAGUAUGAGCUGCUGCGGGUGGACUUGCUCCGUAGUCCCGGUGAGAGGGCGAAACUGCCUCCCCAAGACCCAGUGAGGCACCCAAGACCAUAGGUCUGAGGCCUCAGCCGCUUGGCAAGUGGUGCCUGAGUAGUGGGUCCUUGCCUGCGUUCUCACAAGGGUGUGUGCCCAGCAGGAUGAACUUCUGAAACCAGGCUCAGCACCCACUCUCGGCUGCGUCUUGGACAAGUCCCUUUUCUCCGUGUCUGUUUCUACCUCUAUAAGGCAUGACAGGUGACCGGCUGGCCUCCCAAAUGGGCCGUGUGCCCGGCUAAUUGCGGAUUGUAAAACAACUGCAAAUGAGAGGAGCUGGGGUAGUGUCUGAUGACAGUCAGGGUGGUUUGUGUUAUUUAAAAUCUGUUAACAUCCCACCUAGUGCCUGAGGGCCUUUAGGCACCUAGACAGAAAGUGUGAAAACACAAGAAUGAAAUUAAUUACAGGAGCCACUUAUUAAAACCCCAUUAAAAAGCAAGGCUGCAAGCCAGGCCCUGGGGUCUGGGGAAGCCAGGUCACAGAGACUCAGAAAACAGGGCUGUUAAUGAGAUCACGAGGAGUGGAUGCCGGUGUAAAACAUCUGGCUUCCCUUGGGUUCAAUCUGGAAGCAGAAAGCAGAAAUGUCGCAGCUGAUCUUAAUUGCCCCUAAGGUACCAUAGGGAGAAAAAAUAAACCCCAACCCAGAGCACACCAAGCUGCUUCAAAGGGGAAAAAGACAGAGCUGCUCUUGAAAGACAACCCCCUGUUAGGGCUGCCCCCAGGGCUCAGAUUUCUAUGCUCCACAGCCAGAGCCCCUACACACUCACACUGCUCUAUCAGUGGAGUGCCCGGCUUGAAGAGACUUCAAGAUGAGAUGCCCAAGGUCAGAGGGCUGGAUAGACAGAGACCUACAGACGUGGUUUGGCUUGAGGCACCAAGUGGCAGGUUGGUCCAGAGCCCAAGUUUGAAACAUUCACAGACUCACUCACCUUGAGCAUCUGGAAUGUCCUAACCCCUGUGCCUUCACCUGUUUGUUUAUUUAUUUAGCCAUUCAUUUAUCCAACCAAGAAAACAUUUGAAUUUGUGCUCUAUGCUAAGCCCUAUGCUAGGGUAUUGGGAACACAAAGAUAAAUAAGGCAGGGCUCUAAGUGCACAAUAAUGAUUCCCUGUGGACAUGAAGUACUCUGGGAGAAGAGAGACAGAAGAGACUGCCUUCCAUGGGUGGUGACACUUGAUGGGUCUUGAUGAGCAGGAAUUCGUCAUGUGGAGAGGCAUUCUAGGCGGCAGUGCCAGGGUGUGCCAAGCCCCAGGGGUGUUAGCAUAUGACCCAGCAAUUCCACUUUUCGGUGUCUGUCCUAGACAAACGUGUACAAGUGCAUGAAAACAUACAAAGAUGUUUGCAUGUAGUAUUGUUUGCAAUAAGGGGAAACAGAAGACGAAUGUCCAUAGGAGUGCCAUGGUUAAAUAACCUAAAGUUCAUUCAUGCUUUGGAUUACUCUGCAGCACCUAAAAUACACGUUAUCUAGAGAUGUGUUCUUCUAUGAAGAUCUCCAAGGCACUGUUGAGUGAAAAAAAAAGCAAAGUGCAGCACACACAAAAUAUUCAGAGAGAAUAUUCACCAAAUUUAUUUCUGUGAUUAUCUCUAGUGAGAUGUAUAGAAUUGGUAAAGGAGACGUUUGUAAGGUUAGAAAAUUAACAGUGAGAAUGUACUUAUGUGUAAAUUGUAUAUUUAAAAUAAAGAGUCUUUUAGGAGAUGGUGAGUGGGUCUUAUUGUCUAAAACAGUGCUGUCCAAAUAGAAUCUUUAGCAGCAAGGGAAACAUUCUAUAGCCUCACUGUCCAAUGCUGUAGCCAUUGAAAUGUGAUUAGUGUGGUUAAGAAACUGAAUUUUAAAUUUCAUCUAAUUUUAAUUAACUAAAAAUGUAAUAGCCACAAAGCUAGUGGCAACUGAAUUGUACAGUUCUGGUCUAGAAUAUUGAGUUUAGGAUCUGGUGGAGGCAGAUGAGAGAUGAGGCUGGUAAGAUAGGUUGGGAUGGAAUGAAUGGUGAAGCUUUGCAAGGUGGGCUGAAGAAUUUGGACUUUAUCCUACAGGCGCAGUGGGCAGUGUGGAUGAGAGUGACUAGAUAAAGGUAACUCUGGCAGCCCUGCAGAGGGUAGAUUAGAGUGGGCAGAGGGCUGAAGGCUGCCGUGUUUCUCUCCGUGGCCUCUGGACAUUGCCCCAGCAUUCCUGACUGGCAGCUGAAUAAAGUAUUCUAACUCAACAGCUAUGUUUUUAAGAUCUCAGGCAACCCCAGAGUUAUUGAGAAGGGUUAACCUCAGUGGGGGAGGCUGUUUUUGUGUUGGAACGCAGGAAGAACAGCAGAUGGAUGACAUUAGAGUGAAAAUGCAUAGCAGGUUUCAGAGUGGGGACUUUAAUGAAAGCUUCUCCAGGGUCAGGAAUUUGCCUGGAGCAGAUUCGUUGGAAAUGCCUCUGCAGAGCCCAGGUGUACAGGAGCGUUCUGCUCAGGAAGCCUGCCCUGGCUCGUGUGGGCCUUUCCCUGAAGUCCACAGGGUCCUCCUGAAAGAAUUCUAGUGGAAAAUCCACUCCGUUGUCUGCCGUUCAUGGAACACCCACUAUGCCAGAUACCAUGCCUGGUGCUGGGUCCACAAUGCAAACACGGCACACAUGGUCCCUGACUUCAUGGAGUUUUCCACUAAAAUCAAAUUAAGGCCCAAAUACAUAGUUACCCUUUGUAGUAAGUGUUUUAAGGGAAACAGGAACAUUCAAAGGACAUGGUACUGAGAGAAUAAGAAAGGGAGCAUUAAGAAUAUAGGCGCCCUAGCCAGUUUGGCUCAGUGGAUAGAGCGUCGGCCUGCAGACUGAAGGGUCCCAGGUUUGAUUCCGGUCAAGGGCAUGUACCUUGGUUGCAGGCAUAUCCCCAGUAGGGGGUGUGCAGGAGGCAGCUGAUCGAUGUUUCUCUCUCAUCGAUGUUUCUAACUUUCUAUCUCUCUCCCUUCCUCCCUGUAAAAAAUCAAUAAAAUAUAUAUUUUUAAAAAAAUAUAGGAGGAUCAGAGAAGACCUUUCCGGAAGUUUAAGCUUCUCUACCCACAGAAGCCCCCAAAACCCAAAAGACAAGUAGAAGUCAUCUAGGUGAAGAGGGAACCUAAGAGAGAACAUUCUAGUUAGAAGGACUGAGGUGUGCAAAGGCCACGACAUGGAGAUGACCUUCUAGAGAAGAAGGGUAGAGUGGGUAGGGCAUGGUGAAUGAGAGGGGGAGGGAAGAGGGACGGGCGGUACCCAGACACCACAGGCAUUGUCUUAUUCUGAGUGCAGAAAUGAAGCAGAAGAGAGACCUCAGUGUGUUUCUGGAUGUCAUGUGAGGAAUAGAUUAGAGCAGGGGAUCGGCAAACUGUGGCCUGGGCCACCUACAAGCUAAGGAUGGGUUUUAUAUGUUUAAACAGUUGAAAAAUAUCAAAAGGAGAAUAAUAUUUUGUAACACAUGAAGGUUCCAGGAAAUUCAAAUGUCAGUGUCCCCAAAUAAAGUUUUAUUGGAA